rnacentral:lncRNA from 1 species
CAGAAGAAGAAGCAAAAGCUCUGGAGACAAGAGGACAAUUGGAGGAGGAGGACGAGGAGGAGGAAAACCUAAUCCCAGAAGAAGCCAGCCUGAGGAGUCCAGACGAAGGGGAGAUGGCUUUAUACAUCAUUGAGUGACAUCAAGAUAAGAAGAUGAGGAGGAAGGCGAGAACGCGGCCGCUUCUUUCUAGAACGAGAUGGCGGUGAUGUUGAACUGCGCGAUUUCUGUUACUGAGACUCGUCGUCGUCUUCUUGAUGAGGAUUGGACCAUCGGAGAGGGCGACGGGAGAUAGGAGUGGAGCGAGAGAGAUGGGCGUGAUGACAUACAACCGUAAUGAAGGAGGGUUUCGGGAAAAGGCAUUAUGGUCUGCCGUUCGGGCCAGAUAGAUACAGCAGGAUCCUGGAGUGUUCCGGAAGGCCUGAUCGGAUGUUUCAUGACGAACGGGGAACACCCGAGAGUAGUGACGUGGUGGGGCUCGCUGCUCUCUUUUUUUCCCUGGGAAUGUGUAUGGGUUUUGAUGGCAUUAUACGGUGAACGGUGCUCGGGAAAGAGAGCCGAGUCGAGCACGG